rnacentral:rRNA from 1 species
UACGGAGGAUGCAAGUGUUAUCCGGAAUCACUGGGCGUAAAGCGUCUGUAGGUGGUUUAAUAAGUCAACUGUUAAAUCUUGAGGCUCAACUUCAAAAUCGCAGUCGAAACUGUUAGACUAGAGUAUAGUAGAGGUAAAGGGAAUUUCCAGUGGAGCGGUGAAAUGCGUAGAUAUUGGAAAGAACACCGAUGGCGAAGGCACUUUACUGGGCUAUUACUGACACUCAGAGACGAAAGCUAGGGUAGCAAAUGGGAUUAGAUACCCCAGUAGUCCUAGCCGUAAACAAUGGAUACUAGGUUGAACAGUCGCUGCAGUAUCAAAGCUAACGCGUUAAGUAUCCCGCCUGGGAAGUAUGCUCGCAAGAGUG